rnacentral:lncRNA from 1 species
UUUUUUUUUCUUUUUUUGCGGUACAGAGAAUCCUUAAUAUCCUAAACAACACACGGCUUUGAAACUUCACAUAGUUGUAAGUCUAACAAUUCAAAUUGAUAGUGUCAGAUGAAUAUUCUAUUGCCAUUUGUUCUAGUUAGCAGCUUAGGAGGUUUGAACCAUAUUUAGCCCGGCUAGGAUAGGCGGACUACUGACAUGGGGACAAGGCUCCCUAAUUCAGAAAUCCAGCUCACCUCUGGCUUUUGGAAAGAUUAUACAGCCUAAAGAAUUAUGGAUUGUAACAUUAAAACCUGAGCUCUGCGCCAUCUGAGUGGUGGCUCCAAACUUCGACCACGAGUAUGAUUACUUCUAUCCCAGAUCAGCGUACUAAAUGAAGUAUGUUCUGCGACACCAUGUGUCCAAUGAAGGUCCAAAGAGGCAUCCAAACUAGGAAAUCCUCAAGAAGAAUUUUAUUAGAGUGAAACUCCGAUAAGCAGAAGUGCCUUGGCCAAGCCAACUAAGUGUAGUCUGGUCAGAAAUGCUCAGGUCCGUAAUGAAUUUUCAUUUAAUCUUUAUUAGGGAAGAACAUACAAUUUGAAGUGGGAAGGAAGCCCGUUCUUGGUACCACGCUGCGACUAUUAAAAUCCUUAUACCUAGAAUCGGGUAAGGUAAAUGAACAAAUGGGCAUAAGGUUAUGAUUAAAAGAAGAACUCUAAUAUGACACCAAGAACUAAAGACCAAUCUAGGUAUAACUCGACACUUUCUCAUCCUUAAUUCGAUCAAUGCAUUAAGGCAAGUUCGGAGCAAAAGCUUUUCAUGGGCCUGAUAUUUGGUGUCAGAGUAAAGUGGUACUCCGACUAUCGCAGUUAAAAUGUUCAUAAACACUAAGUUUAAGAGGUAAUGUAUUUCUGAAGAUGCAAACAAGACCUCGGUUUAAUCCAAUAUAGCUUUCUAGCGAUAGCAAUGCUAGAGAUGGAUUUAUGUUGGAUUGUAUUGGGAAGAACAAUGGAAAUUCAAAAAAAGAGCUGAACUAGACCAAUGAGACCAACCCAAGCAGCUACUCGCAUCCUAGCCGCCUCACCUGCUUUAGCGCCAAGCGACUCCCCUACGCGCUCCAGAGAGCACCGCAAGCAACCAUGGGCCAGGCCUAUUGGCGUAGCCUCGUUCCAACCCAGUAUAAGUUUCGACAUCAGCUCUAGUGGAGGCCAACGGCACCUUGUGAUGUUGCCCCGUUAAGCGUGAUGAAAACAAGGAAGGGAAGAAGAAGAAAGUAACAAUUUCAUACCUAGGAUUUUUCUCUAUGCGAGUCAUGAAUUUUAAAAAUAAGGAAUUUGUGAAAAUUCAAGCAAGGUUAUCCUAUUUAUACUAAAUCCUUAUGGUAAAGAAAAAGGAAAACUUUUUCUUACUAAGACUUGAAGAUCUACCUUGUCUUGGAAGAAAAUUCUAUGCAAAUAGGAAGUACAUCUCAUUUUGUUUCCUAUUUAACACAAACUGAUGUGGGGGCAUUUGUGGAGACAUAAAUUAACCACAUCCAAUAGGAAAAGGAUACGUGGACAAGACUCAGAAGAAAAUUUCAGAGCUAACAUUGAAGAACUACUUAAUCAGGGGCAUUGCUGGCUAAGAAAAAGCCAAAUGAGUACUGCUCCUUCCACUAGUGCAUCGACCACACAUGCUAUUGGCCUCCACAAGAGCUGAUGUCGCAACUUAUACUGAGUUGGAAUGAGGUUAGGCCAAUAGGCCUGGGCCAUCGUUGCUUGCGGUGCUCUCUAGAGUGCGCAGGGGAGUCGCUUGGCUUUAAAGCAAAUGAGGCGGCUAGGAUGCGGGUAGCUGAUUAGGUUGGUUUAAUUGGGCUAGUUCAGCUACAAUUUUUUUUCUUUCUUUUUUUGAAUUUCCACUGCUUUUCCCAAUACAAUCCAACAUCAAUCCAUCUCUAGCAUUGCUAUCGCCAGAAAGCUUUAUUGGAUUAAACUGAAGUCUUGUUUGCAUCAGCAGAAAGACAUUACCUCUAGUGUUAUGAACAUAUUAAUUGCGAUAGUUGGAGUACCACCUUACUUUGACACCGGAUAUCAAACCCAUGAAAAGCUUUUGCUUUGAACUUGCCUUAAUGCAUUGAUUAGAUUAAGGAUGAGAAAGUGUCGAGUUGUAUCUAGAAUGGUCUCUAGUUCUUGGUGUCAUACUAGAGUUCUUUUUUUAAUCAUAACCCAUUUGUUCGUUCACCUUGCCCCAUUUCGAGUAUAAGGAUUUUAAUAGUCGGAAAGUGCUACCAAGAAGGGACAUCCUUCCCACUUCAAAUUGCAUGUUCUUCCCUAAAAAAUAUUAAAUGAAAAUUCAUUAGGGACCUGGUUGCUUGCAUACAGGUUGGAAAACACCUUUGGAAUCCUUUUGUCAGGAUUUAUGUGUUGGACCUGAGCAUUUAUGACCAGACUACACUUAAUUGGCUUGGCCAAGGCACUUCCGCUUAUUGGAGUUUCACACUAAUAAAAUUCUUCUUGAGGACUUCCUAUGCCUCUUUCGGACCUGCAUUAGACACAUGGAGUUGCAUAACAUACUUGAUUUAAUACGCUGAUUUGGGAUAAAAGUAAUCAUACUUGUGGUCGGAGUUUAGAGCCACCACUCGGAUGGCGCAGAGCCCAGGUUUUAAUGUUACAAUCCACAAUUCUUUAGGUUGUAUAAUAUUUCCAGAGGCUAGAUGGUGAGCUGGACUUUUGAAUCAGGGAUCCUUGUCCCCAUGUUAGUAGUCCUCCUAUUCUAACCGGGCUAAAUAUGGUUCGAACCUACUAAGCUACUAACUGGAACACCACAAAAUGGCAAUAGAAGACUCAUUUGACACUAUCGAUUUGAAUUUUUAGACUUACAAUUAUGUGAAGUUUUAAAGUCGUGUGUUAUUUAGGAUGUUAGGGAUUCUCUGUACAACAAAAAAAAGGAAAAAAAAAAAGAAGACAAAAGUUGCACAAUAAUCACAUUUAAAUUUUAUUAAUAAAAGAAUAGGAUUCGAUAGAGGUGUGAUUGAAUCCCAAUCGGACUGCCUACAUAUUUAUAGGAAGGGGAACCAAAUCAUGGGUGUAGAUCUAGUAAAAGAUGAUAUAACGUGUGUUUACAUUAGGGAUCAUCUUUGACGAAUAGCUUAUUGUGGGGAGUUAAGGAGAUGAGUUCUCCAUGGACUUGUCUUUGCGUGGACAGUGGUGUUGAAUAUAAUGGUUGAAUCCAAAAUGGACGGCCUACAUAUCUCCUCAUAUAAUCGAAGCAUCAAACCACUUAAAGUUUAGAUUAGGGUCUUUAGUGUUGUCAGCGAUACUUGAGGACGUUCCACCUUAAGGUGAUUAGAGUCCCCUUCCUUGGUUCAAGAUUCCCAACUUUCUUGCUUUCUGGCUCAUAGAUGCAAUUAAUGCUAAGGCUAGGCUUCUUUGCCGGGCAUCGAUCUUCCUCAUCAUCAAUGAGCUCUUGUCAUCCAGAUUUGCCUUGGUCUUUCCUCUCAGCGGGUUUCUCCUUCCUGGCUUUGCUUUUGACGAACUCCCAGCAAUGCCCCUGAUUAAGUAGUUCUUCAAUGUUAGCUCUCAGCGUGUGGCAACUCCACCUUGUGCUGCUGCCCUGUUAAGUGUGAUGAAAUCGAGGAAGGAAAAAGAAGAAAGUAACAAUUUCAUACCUAGGAUUUUUCUCUGUGCGAGUCAGGAAUUUUAAAAGUAAGGAAUUUGUGAAAAUUCAAGCAAGGUUAUCCUAUUUAUACUAAAUCCUUGUGGUAAAGAAAAAGGAAAACUUUUUCUUACUAAGACCUGAAGAUCUACCUUGUCUUGGAAGAAAAUUCUAUGCAAAUAGGAAGUACAUAUCAUUUUGUUUCCUAUUUAAACACAACUUGAUGUGGGGGCAUAUGUGGAGACAUAAAUUAACCACAUCUAAUAAGAAAAUGAUAUGUGGACUAGGCGCUCACCAUGACGGUUCUACCCUUAACGUCGUGAGCAGGCAAUAGAUUACAUCAAGAGAGUUUGAGACUUGUCUGCCCUGUGGGUAAUAGGCCUUUGAGCCACUAACAUAUCAAAGGCGAUUUGGGUGCAUGAUAUGUCUUGCCACCAGGCCACACUCGGGCCUAAUGGUGUCAGGAAGCAGACUCUCUAGAGUCUUCUUUUGGGUGUCUGGCGCGCCUACGCUCUUACCGACAUGAAACUCAAGACUACUAGCUGGCAGGACUAUGAAAACUGAAUUGUACCUUCAAAGACUGCCUAGAAUGGUCUGCAACUUCCCUUCACAAUUGCCUGCUAGGGUUAAGUUCUUUAUAAACAGCCAAGUCAAACACAAGGAAACGACAAUCGUCAUUUAAUCCUCAUAACCUUCUCAAGUUCUUAAUUUCUCUCAAACUAUUAUGACUUAUGCAUAAAGGUCAUUUGUCGGAUCUUUUUCUCUAGAUGUUCAUCAAUGAGGCUAAUGAUGUUUAUUCUUUUGUAGGUGAAAUUUUGUCAAAUCGGUCAUGGACCCAUAUACAAAUUUUGCAUCCACACUUACCACGUCUUUCAUGCCACACUUAUACGUACCAUCUCUCUAAUACAGAUGUGACUCAUAUGCUUGGUGAGCCUUACCUCUAUUAGAAAUAUAGUAAAAGUGAUAUGAACAUGUAUUUUCACAAUACUUGGGUACUAACUGAUCAGUACUCAUUUUACUCAUGAAGUGGCCCAAUAAAACGAAGAAAAAUGUACUUUUAAACACUCAUUAUUCUGGUAGCCACACCCCUUUAAUCUCCUAACCAAACACCAAUAUUAUCUCUGAUCCACCAACAACUGAAGAAAAUUAAAACCAACAGAAAACUCAAUGGACUGAUCCAUCAUAGAUAUUAAUUUAAUCCUCACCAUAAUUUAUAUCUUGUACAAACACAUAGUUUGAUUCCUAUGCAAAACAUAAUAGGCAAUACCACAAUUGACAAAGGAGAAGAAUGAUGAAAGCUAUAAAAUAAAAAUAAAAAAUCCCAAAUUAUUGACCAUGGACAACUUGAGCAGCGGUGUCACAGCCCGUCUCGGAGAAGUAUAUUAUUUAAUUAUCGACGAUGUGAAAUUACCUAAAUACCCUUGGACGUUGAGAAUUAUAUUGGAGUGUUGUGGUUUUGACUUAAGGUUGUGGACCUAUUAGUUAUAUUCCUCUAUUAUUGGACCCAAUUAGAACUAAGUGUUCUCUUAGUUUUGAUUGGUGGCUUUUGGACCACACACACACCCACCUACCCUCUCUCUCCUCUCGUUCCCGUGCUCUCUCUCUCUCUCUCUCUCUCUCAGAUUCACUCUCUCUCUUCUCUCUUGUACGGACACAACCAGAAACCCUUGCAAACGUGACAGAUCGAAGAAGAAAAUGGUACCAUUGUGUUCCUAAGGUCCUCACGAGUUUAAAGGUACCAAAUAUAGGUAAGAUUACCUUCGAUUUCACGUCGAACCACAAAAACCGAUUUGAGGUACUAUUCAUGCUCACGUAAAAACUUAUGUUUUAGGGAAAUUUAAACUCAUAGGGAGCUUAAGGAGGUCCUUACGAAGCUCGGAGUAUUUCGUUUGAAGAAAUUGGAUGUCGGAAUCAUGAGAACGAAGAGUUUUAAAUUUGGCCGGAAUUAUCGAGGCUUUUUUCCGACGAAUUUCUGACGAGUUGGAGGUCGGGGCAGGUAUGGUUUUGUUUGUCUUGUUGAGAUCUUUAAAAUGGUACAAAUUUCAUAGAAAAUGGUGCAAAAAUGAAGAAGUUAUGAAGGUUUUUCGAUUUCCCAGUUUUCCGGCAACGGCGAGGAGUCCGGCGAGCAAUCGGAGAAGACGAGUGAAUAUUCCGUCAGAGUUGACGGAAUAUUCUGACGCCGUCAGGUAAACUUAACUGAAUCCAUUAGCUUUUAACAAAAUAUUCCACAGAAUAUUCCUAACGGGGUUAGAGAAUCUGUCAGGAUUCCUUGCGCGUGGCCGCGAGUAUUGCCGUGCACUCGCCGGCGCGUGGCGAUGCGUGCGGGGUCAGAAAAUUAUUUUACAAAUUCCUGGGUGAUCGUGACAUUGUGUAGGUCACUGUGGUAUAUUCAUAUACCCAAUUUGAGCUAUGUAUGAGAAGUUAUUACAUAGUUUGAUAUAUGUGCAUUAAAGUGACGUUUAUAUAGUUGCUUUUCCUAUAGGCGAGACCUAUCCGGAGGACGAGCGUAGCCAGGCUAGGCAUGGGGGUUACGACCCGGCUUCAUAUCUAUGAGUGGGCAGUUAUUUUCAGUCUAUAUAUAUAUACUUGACGUUUUUCCCAGAAAACGUAUUUAAGGAAAUGUGAUUUAAAUGUUAUGCUAUGCCUAUAUUUUAUUUUAGUAUAUGCAUUAUCAUAAUUUUGCAUAUUGUUGCAUGGUGCUGUGGAGGCUCAGGUAAAUUCAGGUAAGUUAUGUUUGGUUAUGUGAAUCAUCGAUGAUGUGAUAUGUGAUUGAAUACUGUUGAGCUCAUAAAACUGCACCUAGGGUGAUUGUGAUUUAGCCAGAGAUAUGAAGUACAUGCCUGUUUAUUAUGUCACCUCCCGCACCAUAUGCUCAUAUUAGAUCCAAUUUAGGUGCACAGUCUUGUCGUACAGACCUUAUUUAUGGUUCCGACUCGUAGGUGACUAGCGAUUUAUCGCCCGGCUAUUAUGUGAGAGUAGUAUUGGGCAUAAUUAUAUUACACCCAUGAUCGUCGUACAGACCUUUGCAUUUGGUUCCGACUCUUGUGCAGUAUAUUGCCGUAUAGGUCAUUGUAGUGACUCUGGUUAGAUUGACUUUUGAGCUAUGAAUUCAGCUGUACAGACUACCAUAGGGGUUCUGGCUAACAUGUUAUAUUUCUAUGAAACUAUUCUUACCUGAAUUGCUUAUUCUGUUAUAUAUAGGCAUGGCAUACAUACAAAUAUGAAUCUUGAUUUUGAGCAUGAUUUGAGAUAUAUACAUAUUUAUAUAUUCUAUUUUCUAGGAAAGUAUCUAUAUACUUGUUUUACGGCGAGGGGUUAGUAUAUUCAAAGGAAAAUAAGGUUUUUGUGUAAAUGUGUUUUGCUGACCCACUCAACUAUGUUUUUCUCCCCUCCAGGUUUUAGGUAGCAGAGUUUGGUGGCCACGAGGAAUCCAACGGUGCUAUGACAGAAUCCGAAAAGUAGGAUUCACCUUAGGGUGUUGUUGUAUCUUAGUAAUUGUCCUGCUUGACUGCGACUAGAUCUUCUUAUUGCUCUGAAAGUGAAUCUUGAUUUUGCGCACAAGGCUACGUCACGCUCACGUGACGGCCAACACGUCUUGACUUUGGUCAGGUGUGUCAAGCGGAAUGGAGAAGUCAUUGAUGGUGGCUUGCUUCGACGAAGAAGAGAGAUUGAGGGUGAUAUCUGCAGUGUUUGUUGCUAGAAUUGUAUAUAUGUUGGUGUUUGGCUAGAGAGUUAAGAAUGACAAGUUGUAAUUUUAUUGGGCAUCAUAGUCUGGUGAGUAAAAUGUAGUAAGUAUAACAUUACUAAAAAACUAUAACUAAAUGUAGUAGAUAUGUCACGCCCCGGACCCGGGGUCGGUAAUAAAAAAAAUAAAAUACUCAAACUCGAAUUCGAAACAUGAGUUAAAAGCUUAAUAAAUAACCGGAAAUUGAAACGGGUUGGAAAAUAAACUCCUCUUAUUAAAUAGCUCCAAAAUCCUUGCAGGGUGUACAAAAGUAAUAAAUUAAAAUCCUUAAAUUUCUCCUCAAUCACAGCCUCAGCUCUUCUAACACGUCUUGCCAAAUAACUCAUCUGUAAAAUAAUAGGUGAGGGGUGAGCAACAACCACCGUCGCUCAGUGAGUAGAAUAUGUAAUAUGCCAGUCAAGCUUGCCACUUUAAUCACACUAUAAAAUAGGAUAAUAAAAUCAAAGCUUUAGCCACGUAAUUCCAUAUCACAUCGUCCCUUCACAUGUUGAUCAUCUUCUAUCUUCUAUAUAUAUAAAGUGAGAAGCACACAAUGGUGAAGCAUUCUGAAAUGUCAAAAAUGUCCUCAUUUCAUACGUAAGGCUAUUGGAUAACUGCUCAUAAAAAUAGAGUUAAAAACGUAAAAAUAUGGAAUUACAUCUCAAUAAUGAUUCCGACCAUUGGAUCAAAUCACCCACACUUUAAAUUAAUUUUCACCCAUUAGAUUAAGCAUACAGUUACUGCUCCAGAUUAAAAAAAAGGAUAAUCGACCACAACUACUCCAGAUGGAAUCGAAGCACUCCAUAUCAGCAGUUGCAUAGAUUGGAGAUGGAACCGACCUCCAUCGCACGUUCUCGAUCACCACAGUGCAUACAAAAGAGUAAAUUGGGUAAUUUUCUCGAACAAUAUUCUUAUCUAUGCCAAAAUUUUGAAAUGGGUUUUCGCCAGAAAUUUUCACUUUCUGCUUCAAUUCAGGUACUCUGUGCCUAAUUGAAUUGUUCAUAUCUACUAAUGUUUUGAUUUAUUAACUAAUUGCCCACUUUAAUAUAUACUAAUUUGGAGAUUUUUACUUGAUUAUAAUUUGAACUAUUUGAAAUUAUUUAUCUUUACCAGAUUUUGUUAAUGGGUUUUGGACCAAUUUGUAGAAAGCUCUCUCUUUUGUGUAUUGGUUAUUCAGUUUCUGGCUUAAUUUUUGCCAUUCUGGAAUGCCAUGUUGGAAGUUCAAAUCAAAUACAGUAGCCGAAACUAAUGGAACACUUUUCAGAAAUUGUUGGAACACUUUUCAGAAAGUGGUGAAACUAUUUUUAGAAAAGCUACAUGUGUGUGUGCAUCAAAAGGUGGUGCAUGUGUGAAAGGGUGUAAAGAUGGUAAACACCAUCAUUGAUUGCAUGUGUGUGCAUUUGUUUUUAUUAAAAAACACUUGAGUGGUUUGUAACUUUUGCAUGUAUAAUUAAGCCUCUUGUAAGGCUUUAGAAAAAUCCAUCCGAAUUCCCAUUUCCAUUUUAGCUUGUAAGCAAUUGAGUUUGUAAACUCUUAUUAAAUAUAUCAAAGUGUUUGCUUGUUUUCCGUGCAGUUUGUCCAACACAAAAAGUUUGCUUCUUCAUUUAUUUUUUUCUUUGUUUAAUUGUAUUGAGAGUGAUAGUGAGAUGUAUGAUAAAGUUAGAAAACUUAUCACCCAAAUAUUUUUGGUAUUGAGUUAGUCAACUUUGAAAUACCAACAAUUGGUAUCAGAGCCAGAUUACCGUUCUGGCAAGUGCAGUAGCUAUGGCAUCUAACUUAGUGCAGCUCCAGGUUCCAACAUUGAAGAAAGAAAAUUAUGAAAGAUGGUGCAUCUAGUUCAAAACAUUGUUUGGAUCACAGGACCUAUGGGAAGUUGUCAGUAAUGGGUAUGAUGAACCCACUACUGAGCAAGAAGCUGCCUACACUGCAGAUCAAAGGAAUACUCUCAAGGACUUACGAAAGAAUGACAAGAAGGUGAUGUACCUUCUAUAUCAAGGAUUAGAAGAUUCAACGUUCGAGAAGAUUGCAGAAGCAACAACCAGCAAGCAAGUUUGGUACACUUUGAGCACAAUUUACCAAGGAGUAGAUCGAGUAAAAAGAGUUCGGCUUCAAUCAUUAAGAGCAGAUUUUGAGGCUGCUCAUAUGAAAGAAGGAGAAAACAUUUCAGACUACUACUCUCGACUACUUGUAAUUGUGAAUCAAAUGAAAAGGAAUGGCGAGAAGCUUGACGAUGUUCGUGUCAUGGAGAAAAUCCUUCGGUCACUCACAUCCAACUUUGAGCUUGUGGUGACUGCCAUUGAGGAAUCCAAGAAUUUGGAGACGAUGAGUGCAGAGGAACUGCUAGGAUCCCUCCUAGUUCAUGAACAACGCAUUCAGAAGAAUGCAAGCCCCACAACGCUAGAGCAAGCUUUGGAGUCAAAGUUGAAUAUUGACAAACCAAAUGGAGGUCGUGGACAGUGGAAUUCACGUCAUGGAAGCUCAUCCAAUCAUAGCCGAGGACGAGGCCGAGGAAGAGGUUGAGGCUAUGCACAAAACCGAGGUCAAUCUCAAUAGUGGAGAUCUACUUGAGGAAAGGCGCAUAUCCAGUGUCACAGUUGCAAGCAAUAUGGACAUUAUGCCAAUGAAUGUUCAUAUAAAAAUGGUGAGCAUGUCAACAUGGCAGAAUCAAGUGGAAAUGCUGGUGAGGAAUUUACAGUCUUACUAGCACACCAUGAUAUCAGUAGCCAACAAGAUGUUUGGUAUUUGGACUCUGGUGCAAGCAACCACAUGUAUGGAAAGAAAGAGUUUUUUGCUGAACUCAAAGAUGGGCCUUAUGGAUCUAUAAGUCUUGGUGACUCCCCAAAGUUGCCAGUUGAAGGCAAAGGAAAGAUCAAAAUCAUCUAGAAGGAUGGUAGAGAAGAAUACAUCUCUGAUACCUACUACAUACCAUGUAUGAAAAGCAACAUUCUGAGCAUUGGUCAAUUGUUCCAGAAAGGGUAUGUUAUACAUAUGGAGAAUAUGCUUCUCACUCUCAGGAAUGCAAGGAGAAAGCUUAUUGCAAGUGUUCAAAUGUCAAAGAACUGAAUGUUCCCGUUGAAGUUGAACACAAAGAUUGGAAGCUGCAACAUUGGUGUGAUAGAAGAUGAGUCAUGGAAAUGGCAUCUUCGGUUUGGCCAUCUUCAUUUCAAUGGCCUAAAGUUAUUGUCAAGUGGAGAAAUGGUUCGUGGUCUACCCCAGAUUGAAGCCACACACCAAGUAUGUGAAGGUUGUGUGCUUGGCAAACAAGCACGAUCAUCGUUCCCUGUUGGUGAUAUAUGGAGAGCAAAGGCACCACUGCAGUUAAUGCACACGGAUAUAUGUGGUCCGUUGGAUCCUAUGUCCUAUGGAGGUAAUAGGUAUUUUAUUACCUUCAUUGAUGAUUUUAGUAGGAAGACUUGGGUUUAUUUUCUCAAGGAGAAGUCGGCUACCCUAAGAAUCUUCAAUGAGUUUAAGGCACUCACAGAAGCUGAAAGCAACCACAAGCUUGUGGCUGUGAGAUCAGAUAGAGGUGGAGAGUACACCUCAAAUGCUUUCCAAGCAUAUUACAAGGAGUAAGGAAUUAGGCAUCAACUGAUUGCUGCCUAUACCCCACAACAAAAUGGGAUAGCCGAAAGAAAGAAUCAAACCAUCCUUGACAUAACAAGGUCUAUGCUUAAAGAGAAGAAUUUGCCAAAAGAAUUGUGGGUAGAAGCUGUAGCUUAUUCGAUUUAUUUGUUGAAUCGAUGUCCAACAAAGAGUGUCAAGAGGAUGACACCACAAGAGGCUUGGAGUGGAUACAAGCCGAAUGUUGCACACUGCAUAUGCUCAAGUUCAAGAAGCCAAGAGGAGGAAACUCGAUGAUAGAGGUGAGAAGUGUGUGUUCGUGGGCUAUAGUGGAAAGUCCAAGGCAUAUAAGCUUUACAACCCACUAACUGGAAAAUUAGUGGUUAGUAGAGAUGUCAUCUUCAGUGAGGAAGAGGCAUAGAAGUGGAACAACAAAGAAGUUAGUAAAGAGAAGAUUGUUUCCACUGAUUUUGAAGAACCAGAAGUUGUACCACUUAUUAAGCAACAACCUGCUCAAUCAAUCACAACAACUCCAUUGCACAGAAUUGCAAGGAGUGGUCAUACUUCCAGUGAAGAAAGCAGCUCCUCAACUCCAGUGAGGCUAAGAAGUCUCAUUGAGAUAUAUGGACAAGAAAGAGAAGAAGAAACCAACCUUUUCUACUUGUAUGCAGACCAUGAGCCUCUCUCAUUCAAUGAAGUUAUGGAAGAAGAUCGUUGGAGAAUAGCCAUGGAGGAAGAAAUCCAUGCCAUCGAGAAGAAUCACACUUGGGAGUUAACAAAGCUCCCACCAAAUCAGAAGGCUAUUGGUGUCAAGUGGGUCUAUAAGAUCAAACGCACUGCAAAUGGGAGUGUGGAUCGAUACAAAUCAAGGCUUGUAGCGAAGGGCUACAAACAGAAGUAUGGAAUGGACUAUGAUGAAGUCUAUGCUCCAGUUGCAAGACUUGACAUGGUAAGAUUGCUAAUCUCUCUUGCCGCUCAUCAUAAAUGGAAAAUUUAUCAACUAGAUGUCAAGUCAGCCUUCUUAAUGGAGUACUUGAGGAAGAAGUGUACGUGGAACAACCAAAAGGAUUCCAAGUACAAGGAGAAGAAGAAAAGGUGUAUCGUUUGAAGAAGGCUUUGUAUGGCCCCAAGCAAGCACCACGAGCUUGGAACUCAAGGAUUGAUAACUACCUUCACCAAAAUGGAUUUCAGAAAUGUCCAUACGAGCAUUCAGUUUACAUGAAGAAUGGUACAAAAGGGGAGUUCUUAAUUAUUUGUCUCUAUGUAGAUGACUUGUUGUUUACAGGAAACAAUGAAGCAAUGUUCCAUGAGUUCAAGCAAUCCAUGUUCAGUGAAUUUGAGAUGACUGACAAUGGAUUAAUGUCAUACUUUCUUGGCAUAGAGGUGAAACAAGAAAGUGAUGGUAUCUACAUCUCUCAACAAAAGUACAUAAGAGAUAUAUUGGAGAAAUUCAAUAUGGACAAGUGCAAUAUUGUCAACACUCUAGUUGCAAUUGGAUUGAAGCUGUCCAAGGAAGGAGAAGGUGAGUUUGUAAACUCAACCGUGUACAAAAGAUUGGUUGGAAGCCUAAGGUACCUUACAAUCAUAAGACCUGAUAUAGUUUAUGGCGUUGGACUCGUGAGUCGGUACAUAGAAACACCAAGGAAGUCUCAUUGGCUGGCCGCCAAGAGAAUUUUGAGGUACAUAAGAGGUACUCUAAACUAUGGUCUGUUUUAUAAUUUUGGUGAAGAUGCAAAAUUAUUUGGUUAUUCAGAUAGUGAUUAGGAAGGUGACCAAGAUGAAAGGAAAAGCACAACUGGUUAUGUGUUUUUUCUAGGAUCAACAACUUUCUCAUGGACUUCAAAGAAGCAAUCAAUUAUUGCUUUGUCAUCGUGUGAAGCCGAAUAUGCUGCUAUAGCCUCAACUGUGUGUGAGGCAAUUUGGUUAAGAAAUCUGUUGAAGUCAGUGUGUCAUCCACAAGUGGAAUCGACUGUGAUUCAUGUGGAUAACAUCUCAGCUAUCAAGCUUGCUAGGAAUCCAGUCCAACAUGGAAGGAGCAAGCAUAUUGAUACCAGGUUCAAUUUUCUGAGGGACCAUCUGAAGCAAAAGACAAUUGAACUUGUCUAUUGUCACAUGAAGGAACAAGUAGUUGAUGUGGAUGCAAAUUUUCUCCUCUUCGAUCUUGGACGAUUUUGCACCUACAAAACAACUAGCACCUUAGGUUAAGGCCAAAAGCCUCACGCGCCCACGAUGAAUGGGGGGGGGCUUUGGCCGAAGAACCUCCGAUGCCAAAGUUAGAAUUUUAGAGAGAAAUAGUGUUUAGAGUGUUUUGGAAUUUUUGCAAGAGAUUUGGAAUGAGUGUUUGGUAAAAAUGGGUGACUAUUUAUAGGACCAAAUUGGUCCACAUCUUCAAGAAAUGGCCGGCCCUUUCUUUGUGCUUUGGGAUGAAUUUGUGGUUUUAUUAGCCACUUUAUUGGCUAAUAAAAUAUAAUAGAAAUAAAUGGGAAGUUACCCAAUUGAAUGACUAGCAUUAUUUGGCUAAUAAAGUGGAAGAAAUUUGAAAAGGUGUGGAGCAAAGAGAGGGAAUGUGGCCGGUCUACUAGGUGGGAUUUUAGGGUUUAUUUUAGGUUUAAUUAGCCAAUUAAUUGGCUAAUUAAAUAUGAAAGGAAAUGUUUUAGUAUUUAUGGUAUUGAUUGGCUAAUUUAAAAGGGAAGGAAAGGUGGAAAAGGUAGAAAAAGGUGAUGGAAUAGGCUUUGAAUGGGGUAGCCGGCCCUAUAUAUCAUUUUUUAGGUUUGAGUGGAUGUUUCAAAUUGAUAAUUAAGGGAUGAUUUUAGGAGAUAUGGGAAGAAUAUAUUAUUUAGAUAAUUAAUUAACUAAAUAAUAUAUUAGGGAAAUUAAGUUUUGGAAAUAAUUACCUAAAAUAAGAUAAUUUGGAAUUGGUUACCUCUUUUGGAGCAUUUUUGAAUUGGUUGAGGAUGAUUACCCACUACUUGCGCGUAGGAAUCCCGGUAUGCCUCAAGGGUAUUUUUGUCCUCUUUCAUUCAAAAGUCCACGUGUCGCCUAGCGAAUAUUUUUGGCUCCACAAAUGCCCCCACACCUGUUGGGCUGCUUGCAAAAAAGGGCAACAGGUGUAGAGAUUUUCUCACUUUAGGCAACUCUGAAUUGAUUUCUAUUUUGUUGUUGAUUCUCUCUUUAAAUGGAAAUUAGAUCCUUCUAGGAAAGGGAAAUAAAUUUCUCUCAAAGCCUAUUUAAGUCCACCUUAAGUGGGUUAUUAAAUCAACUUUGGAGAGCGAUUUAUUCUACCCUACAGGAGAGAGAUAGCUUAGAGGAUAUUUGUUCCCCCUCCUCUAGCAAUCUUCUACAUCUUGCCCGUGCAAAGGACCGUAUUUCGUUGCUUUCUUCGUCUUCUUCGUGCCGCACCAAUGUAAGAAAAAUUUAAUUUUUCUUGCCUUAUUCUUGGAUAGUGCUAUUGCGGGGUGGUGCGGCACGUCGGCUGGCAGGGGCCAGAAGCUGGCUCGGCAUGAGCUGAGGAGAUAUCGUGGCAGGGACCACUGCUUGGGCAGCUUGGCUUGGCCUGAGCCAAGGGCAGCUUGUGCAGCUGGGGUCGAGGAUUGUGGCGCUAGGGCACAGUGUUAGGCGAGCUGCAUAGCUCAUGUCCUUUGGGCUCUUGGACCUGACUCGGGCCAGGCUGACGAUUGAGAGAAAUAAGGAGAUUGCGGGUCUCAUGGGCUGCUGGAAUGUUGGGCAUGUAUGCCUUCUGCCUGCUGGAAUGCUGGGUUGAGCUCCCCUGCUGAGUACCAUGAAUGUCGUUGGCUACUUAGUCUUCUUUGCUGAAAGAAAGGUGGGCUGCUCCAGAAAGAUGAGGUAAAGAGGAUCAAGGCGGAUGCACUGGCUCGUCUGAUCGCUGUCGUGGAGCUUACUAUGAAUGAAGAUGGAAAGAAGAGAUCUUCCCCGCCUGCUCAUGAGAUGCCUAGUUAAUAAAAAACUGAAGACUUCUUCUGCUGCUCAUGAAGGUCCGCUUGCUACCGAGAGGUAUGUGAUUGACAUAACUUCUUCUAAUGGGAAGAAAAUAAGGCUGCUAGAUCUGAGCAUGUGGCGUCUUCCAUGUUGAGAAUGGCUAGUACAAUUGUGGAUAAGAUUACUCAGCGUAAAGGUUUUAUCAUGCCCCCAGUGCCGAAGUCUGUAGGACGUUCUUUAGGAGCCAAGUCCGGUUCACCUUUGUAGAGACUUGCUAUUAUGAAGAGUGGUAAGGUGGACUCUGCUGCUAAAUUGGCGCCAAAGCCUGCUCCCUUUGCUGCUGAGAUUGAUUCGCCUCAGAUUCAAUAUCUUAAGCUUGCAAUUUCUGAGCUUCGUUUCGCUACUUAUGCUAAGAAGAUAGUGGAUGAGCUUCUCUAUUUCUCCGGAAGACUUGCUUGCUUUUACUUUUAAGGCUUCCAUUGGUGAAGUAGUUGGAGAAGUUAGUGCCCAGACUGGGGCAGCCGGGGGUGAAGCGUCGGAUGAUGCCGCUGCUAAGAGCGUUACGGCUGUUGAAGGUGUGGCGACCGAGUAGUCAUGGGAUGUCCAAGCUGCUGUAAUGUAGUAUUUUAGGUAGCCUUUAGGAUUUUCUUUGUUUUUCCUUGUAGCUUUUGUUUUGCUUGAAUUCCUUCGGCCUUUGCUAGUUGUUUAUAAACAUGUUUUCCUUCGUUUUUCUUCAUCUUCACUUCUUUUGUUCAUGCCUUUAGACUUGAUAGACCAGUGGCAGGCAUGCUACUUUUUUAUAAACAGACAAACUCGCGUAGCCUAUGCAGCCGUAGGUGUUGGUGUAGAACUUUGCAAAGUUGUUAGCCAUAGGGUUGGCAGCCGGAUGCCUUACUUACAGAAGCAGACAAGUCCGCGUAACCACUAGGCUGUUAACCUUGACUUUCUUCAAUUCCGUAGGUUGUGUAGCAAGUAUCACAACACUUUAGGACUUGGUGUAGGUUGUUCCGCGCUUGGCAGAGGUGAAGCUUAUCGACUACGUAGCAUGUCGGCAGUGGAUAAAACUUCGUAUAUGCGCGCUAGCUUGUUUAACCUUUCACAAGAAUGUGCGGUUGUAUAAGUCUAGUGCGGCUUCACUGCUCUAAGGGCAAGCCGUAGGCAGUCUUCCGGAAUCCGUAGGCUACCUUAGUGCACUCGGUAGCAGCUUUAGGAUUCCAGGGCAGCCGUCCAUUGGAUGUACGGCGUAAUGUGCCCUCUCCGUCUCUAGGGCUCGGUUCCCCACGGAUUAGGCCAAGAGACCCAAAAUCCUUGAGUUAGCUAAGCCUUGAAAAAGACCAUUGCGGCUACUUCAAGGAAUCCCGGCGCAAGCCAUCGUGCAUCUAGUUAUACUAGGGCAGCCAGGCUCAUCCACGUCUGGAUAUUCGGAGUGUAAAGUUUAUCCUCCCGUCUUGGAGAGCUGACCCAUAUGGGUGUCGGAGAAUUGGUUUACCCUCUCGCACUGGAGAGCAUGGUUGGUCCCUCGGGGGGCGCAAUUCCUGCGAUGAGUCCCUAAGAAGGGCGCAAUCUUCUUUUGAAGUGCAUGAGUGAUUAGUUGUUGUAAGCAUGCAGCCACGCCAAGUUGUGAUUACUUCUAAAUUCCUCAUUGAAAAACGAGUGAAACGAACGAGAACUUUAGCUGUAAGGUAGGGACUGCAUAACAACUGGAUAGUCCUCAGCUUGUGAGGUGGUGCCCGUCGAGCUUAUUGAGUCUUCGGGUUUUGAUGUAGCGGGAGGUCACACAUGGUACUUCUUCAGAUUGUAGGCCAUCUAUUUCUUUUCAAUCUUUUUGCCGCUUCAUGGUGGUGAGGGUGUAAUUACUCUUACUCCCUACUCUGCUGAUCUUGUACGGACCUUCCCAGAUGGGAUCCAUCUUUUUGGAGCCUUCUCUGCCGGCAGUGAUGAAGGCUUUUCUGCGUCGUCGACAUGCAAAUGCCAGAAGUCUCCAUCGGGUGGAGUAGGCGCAGCUAGAGUGUGCUCGGCUACUUCUGAGGCAUCGUUGGGCCGCUCUGUUGUGUCACCUAGGCUCGGCGUGAAGGCGCAGUAGGGAGCUGUGGAGAUGAGGCCAUGUCAUACGCAACAGGAAAUGCUCAACUGCCGGUAUUGGGCCACUCUAGAGUUGAAUCAUUGAGCAAGGGUCGGCUAGGGCCGUGUGAUGCGCAGCAAGAAAUGGUACUCAACUGCCGGUACAUGUUGCUCCUAUGUAGAAUCUUUUAGGGUGACGAGGACAAAACUUGCUUUCGAGUGUGUCCUUCCAGUGUUGUGUUUGUCAGAAAACUUUACAUCUGCCAAGGUCAACGCCUUUAUCGUCGCGCGUCUGGAUUGGGCAGAAUAGUACGUCAUUAAGAUGAUUGCAUGCGUUUGAAAGUAAAACUUGUGCUUCUGGGUUGCAACAACUAUCGCCAAAGUUAGCUUUUGAAUUUUUAAUAACAUCGAGGAGAGCUUUUGAACUGUAGAAUACAGGUAAUUGUGGAAUACAGGUAGUCGGGCCCCCAUCUCUUCUCGCAUGAUGGUAGAGCUUAUUGCUACUUUAGAUACCGUCAAACAUGUGAAUAAGUCAUCCGCUGCUUCUAGGGAGGUGAUGUUGGGUACUUCUUCAAGUCAUUGAAUGUGCAUUGGCGAGCCUCAUCCCAAAGUGCAUACUUCUCUGCCAAAGCAAAAGAGUCUGCCAGAGUUAGAUCUUUUUUCAUGAUCAAUUUUCCGAAUAGCGGGUGGUCUGCUGGAAGUCCUUUUUGGAAGGCUGCUCUAGCUAUAGAGUCGUUGCAUCCAACUAUUUUUGCCUUCUCUACUUUGAACCUCCUCACAUAGUCGCGAAGCGACUCCUUUGGGUUCUUCUUGACGUUGAACAAAUGAUCAGACUUCUUUUUGAUCGAGCGAUAGGAUGAAUAUUCUUUGGUGAAAACCAAAGAAAGUUCGUAGAAAUCCCGGAUGGAUUGUGGCGGUAAGGUGUAGAACCAAUCUUGCGCCUCGCCUUGUAGAGUGGUGGCGAAUAUCUUGCACAUGAGCUCAUCGUUGUUUCGAUAAAGGAUCAUUGCGCUUCGGUAGCGCUUUAAGUGUCUCUCCGGGUCUUCAUCCCCUUUGAAAUAUGUGAAAUGUGGCAUGCUGAACUCUCGUGGAGGCUCUGCCUGCUCGAUCUCGUCCGUGAAGGGUGACCUGCUUAUGUUGGUCAUGUUCCGUCGUAGUGCCUCGUCGGUGACCUCAUUGCGUUGGAAAUCAUGCAAUCGCUUGGUCAAGAGUCUCUCUACUUCUUCCUGAAUUUGCCUUUGUUGGGGUAGUGCAGCUCUCGGCUGCCCCCAGCCAUAACUUGCUGGUCUAGCUGCUUUUCCUGUUUUGGCUCGUCUAUGUGUUGGCUGGCGUCGUAUAUGCAUGAUGCAGUGCAUAUGGUGCAUUCCUGCAGCAGGCGAGCGAGUUCUUUGCAGGCUGCUGGUUGAACUUGAGCUGGAUUGAGUGACUGCUUCUUCUCUCCGUCCGUCGUGCUGCCUACUCUGAUGUGAGGUGGAUGAUGCUCCUUGUGGGCUUAGCCGCGAAUGAACACUUUGUCUGGAAGGUUGCUCAUGUUGACUACCAGAGUGUAACCCCAACCGUGAAUGUAUGCUCAUUCGUUGGCCUAGUCGAGAGUACACGCUCCUCCGCGCGCUAAAACGGGAGUAUACGCUAUCUCGGGGGCCCAAUCGGGAAUGUACACUGCCUGAACGUUCAGCUCGUGGCUGGUUGAAUGGCUGCUUGCUGGGAUGCUGCUGGAAAGGUUCGUCUGCCCUUGUCCUACUUCGGGAUACCUCGUCCGGGGCACGUUGGAUCCCGAUGCGUUGCAAAAGUUGAUUCACCAAAGUUGUCUGUUGUGCAAGGGGCGCUCGUCAACUCUAUGACUUACUUGUCGAGACAAGUGUUGUUCGCCAUUUGGAUUGGAAGAGCUUGGAAUGAAUGCGCCUCCUUGAGCAGUGGAAGGGUGGUAGACUCCGGGCGCGAGAUUUGAGUUGGGAAAUGUCAAAUCCGUGAAAAAAUGUGGUGAGAAUGCCCCCGGCUCGAUGGUAGGUCCAGAUGGUUGAGAUAGUUUUGGGCCGACUUGGGCUGCUUGGAAAGCCACGGGAGCAGUGUGGGCCUUGAGAGUGGGGCUGCUCGUCGGGAGUGGGCUGCUCGUUGGGAGCAGGCUGGGUCACGAGAGCAGGCUGCUUGGCAGGAGCAGGUUGCUUGGCCGGAGCAGGCUGGGCCACGGAAGCAGGCUGCUUGGCAGGAGCAGGUUGCUUGGCGGGAGCAGGCUGGGCCACGGAAGUAGGCUGCUUGGCAGGAGUGGGCUGGGCCACGGGAGUGGGCUGCUUGGCAGUAGCAGGCUGGGCCACGGGAGUGGGUUGCUCGACGGGAGCAGGCUGGAUCACGGGAGCAGGCUGCUCAAUGCGCGGUGCAUGUGAAUGCGAGGCUUGGGCUUGGGUCCACGUGAACUUGGAUGGCACGGCUUGGAUCGUGGUCUUGGUACCGUGAGCCUUGGAUGGCACGGCUCGGGCCGUGGUGAAGGCUCCAUGGACCUCGCCACGAGUGGCUACCGAAGUAGCCAUCGUGGUGGUUCCCAUGGUGGCGGUGGUGAAGGCAUCAUGGACCUCGCCGUGGGUGGCUACCGAGGUAGCCACCACGGUGGUUCCCAUGGUGGAAGCUCGUGGUGAUGAUGCCGCUCCCCUUAUUGUCGCAUUUUGCCUUACGGAUCUCCGGGUCGUGGUGAAGGCUCCAUGGACCUCGCCACGAGUGGCUACCGAAGUAGCCACCGCGGUGGUUCCCAUGGUGGCCGUGGUGAAGGCACCAUGGACCUCGCCGCGGGUAGCUACCGAAGUAGCCACCACGGUGGUUCCCAUGGUUGAAGCUCAUGAUGAUGAUGCCGCUCCCCUUAUUGUCGCAUUUAGCCUCACGGAUCUCCGCAAUCCCAUUUCUUGAACAUUAGAAUUUUCACUUGUGGAAUUUUCUAAAUUUCUAGCCAUUAUAUUUUGCUUAUACGUUUUAUCAAAGAACCUUUGCAAGUAAAAAAUUCUAAUAAUAAGAACGUAUGAAAAAUAUUCAAAUGGACUAGAAAAUAAAGAAAAAACCUUUUUUGUGCGAGAGUCUUCUACGAGUAUGGAUUUCAACUCUCAAUGAAAGCACCAAUUUGUGGAUGCAAAUUUUCUCCUCUUCGAUCUUGGACGAUUUUGCACCUACAAAACAACUAGCACCUUAGGUUAAGGCCAAAAGCCUCACGCGCCCACGAUGAAUGGGGGGGGCUUUGGCCGAAGAACCUCCGAUGCCAAAGUUAGAAUUUUAGAGAGAAAUAGUGUUUAGAGUGUUUUGGAAUUUUUGCAAGAGAUUUGGAAUGAGUGUUUGGUAAAAAUGGGUGACUAUUUAUAGGACCAAAUUGGUCCACAUCUUCAAGAAAUGGCCGGCCCUUUCUUUGUGCUUUGGGAUGAAUUUUGUGGUUUUAUUAGCCACUUUAUUGGCUAAUAAAAUAUAAUAGAAAUAAAUGGGAAGUUACCCAAUUGAAUGACUAGCAUUAUUUGGCUAAUAAAGUGGAAGAAAUUUGAAAAGGUGUGGAGCAAAGAGAGGGAAUGUGGCCGGUCUACUAGGUGGGAUUUUAGGGUUUAUUUUAGGUUUAAUUAGCCAAUUAAUUGGCUAAUUAAAUAUGAAAGGAAAUGUUUUAGUAUUUAUGGUAUUGAUUGGCUAAUUUAAAAGGGAAGGAAAGGUGGAAAAGGUAGAAAAAGGUGAUGGAAUAGGCUUUGAAUGGGGUAGCCGGCCCUAUAUCAUUUUUUAGGUUUGAGUGGAUGUUUCAAAUUGAUAAUUAAGGGAUGAUUUUAGGAGAUAUGGGAAGAAUAUAUUAUUUAGAUAAUUAAUUAACUAAAUAAUAUAUUAGGGAAAUUAAGUUUUGGAAAUAAUUACCUAAAAUAAGAUAAUUUGGAAUUGGUUACCUCUUUUGGAGCAUUUUUGAAUUGGUUGAGGAUGAUUACCCACUACUUGCGCGUAGGAAUCCCGGUAUGCCUCAAGGGUAAUUUUUGUCCUCUUUCAUUCAAAAGUCCACGUGUCGCCUAGCGAAUAUUUUUGGCUCCACAGUUGACAUCUUCACAAAGCCACUGCCAGUUGAAUUAUUUCGGUUGCUGCGUGAAAUGCUAGGCAUGAAGGUAUUUUGAUUUGAGGGGGCGUGUUGGAAGUUCAAAUCAAAUACAGUAGCCGAAACUAGUGGAACACUUUUCAGAAAUUGUUGGAACACUUUUCAGAAAGUGGUGAAACUAUUUUUAGAAAAGUUGCAUGUGUGUGUGUAUUUUUUUAUUAAAAAGCACUUGAGUGGUUUGUAACUUUUGCAUGUAUAAUUAAGCCUCUUGUAAGGCUUUAGAAAAAUUCAUCCGAAUUCCCAUUCCAUCAGAAUCCCAUUUCCAUUUUAGCUUGUAAGCAAUUGAGUUUGUAAACUCUUAUUAAAUAUAUCAAAGUGUUUGCUUGUUUGCCGUGCAGUUUGUCCAAUACAAAAAGUUUGCUUCUUCAUUUAUUUUUUUCUUUGUUCAAUUGUAUUGAGAGUGAUAGUGAGAGGUGUGAUAAAGUUAGAAAACUUAUCACCCAAAUAUUUUUGGUAUUGAGUUAGUAAACUUUGAAAUACUAACAUGCCAGAGGCAUUUAUAGGAGUUACUAAAGUUACUCAAUUACCAGUUCUUUACAAAAAGCCUUCUUCAACCGCCAAAUUCUUGAGCUUUCAUCCCACCAGAGAUUGGUGGCUUCAGCUUCAUUGUCGCUCAGACUGGUGACCCAUUGGUGUCGGGUACGGUUUAUUUUGUUUGUCUUUUUUCCCGGAUUUAAUUUGAUGUAUUGUAUUAUUUAUCUGAUGACAAUGCUCCACUAGCUUCGAAUUUUGUGCUACACGUUAACACCCUUUGAUCAUCCAAGGGCUCUCAAUAGAGUUGGGGCGGCGGGAUCCGGAUCUGAGAUGGUUGAACACUCUAUAGCCAGUUAAUACUUUUGCCCACCAAUCCGCUCGGUUGUGUUCGUAACAUCUGUGUUGUGACGUUUCUUCAUCUCUCUUACUUGAGAUUCUUUAAAUUUUUUGUUCAAAUGUUAUGCAAUUGAUCGCUGGGCAUUUGAAGACGAACAGGGAGGAAAAAUUGGAUAAUUAUCCUCCUAAACUAAGCGGUUAUAAUUAUAAAACGUUGAAAAAAAAAUUGGAGCUCAAAUUUGAAACUGCAAUGAGCAGUUGCAAUUGGUUUUUUUCCUCUCCCGCAAAAACUAAAUUGUCUUCACUCUUAGGUAUGUUAUGUUGAUGUUUGAUUUAUUUUUAAUUUCCUUUUUUAUCAUUAGCUCCAUAUUUGAUCAAAUACUAGCCUCUCCGCACGCACAUGUGCGUGUGAGAGGCCUUUUUUCAAUCAUGUGUGCUACACGCCCCUAUAUGUGUCUUGCAUUAGUUUUUUUCAUUGUAAUUGUCAAAAUGGCUCACUAAACAAAUUGAAAACAACUAACGCACGACAUCUUUAAUAUAUGAGUUGUGGUUUCAUUCUUUUGGUUAACUUCGUUUAAUUCUUUUUUCCUCCUGUCCAUGAAUUAAUUUUAAUUAAUUUAGUACAAAUGUUCAUUUUUUGUUUCUAGGAAAUUAAAAGUUUGAACCUUUUUUAUUUGUGUAAUCAGUUUUGAAGUUUGUUUCACAGGGAAAAUAUGGAAGAAGGAAGAGAAAUAGCGGAAGAAGAGGGAACAAAGAUAGUUUAUCAUACUCAAGAGUGCAGGUAGUAUUCUGUGAUUUGGCAUAAUUUUGUAUAUAAUUGAUUUUUCUUCUCUAAUAAUCUUCCCCUAUUUCCUUUUGUUCUGUGUAUAAUAGAUCGUCUAAAAUUUACAAGUUCAUGGCUCAUUCAGGCUACAAAAGAUUUGAUUACUUUCUUUUUAGGAAUAUGAACUGGAACAACUUCAAAGUUCGGGUGUAAUUAUUUGUCUUAUCAAGUAAUUUACUGUAUCUUAUCCGUUUUUGUUUUUCAUGCAUGUGAUUGUAUUUUUGAUUGGAAGGUUAUAAAAAUGAACACCUUUUACAGUGCUCCAAAUUAAAUACGAUAGAUAUACAUGUUUUUGCACGAAUUAAAACAACAUUAUUACUACAUUAUGUAUUCAAUUUUAAAUUAAGGUACGGUAUCUAUACCAAAUAAAAUAGGGUUGGCAUAUUAAGAGAACAACCUCCAUUUGCACUUUUAAUAGAAAAAGGCUCGGGUUCGAUUGUAAAAACAAAAGCAAAAUUGUUACACCCUUUUUUCUUAAGAAUAAAAACAUGAUUAGGCGAUCUACUAAUAAAGAGAUUGGAAACUAAUGUAAUAAACUUUCAUCUUCUAUAGGAAAAUAUAAACAAGUUAAGCAUGACUAAUUAAGAAAACACCAUUUGCAAACACAUAAAAAUUCGUCAAUCAACUCUCAAUGAAUAAGAAUGUCGAUAGACAAAUGAACACCUAAUACCUCCUAAAAAAGGCUGCUUUAAUCAUCUCACACGCAACUGUUGUUUCACUAUUGCAUGAAAACAAUUGACGCAAGAUAUAAUUAAAACCGCGUAGCGCCGGUAAUUAAAAAAAUGCCUCUAGCUUGACCAUGAUAAAAGAGAUCAUGAUUUAGUAAUGGCAUCAUCACGUUAUAAGUAGACUUUAUUUUUUGUAUGUACAUAUUGUGCAUUGUUUUGUUUUGAAUCAAUGUAUCAAAACAUACCAUCAUUUGAUCAUGAUAUAUAGCUUGAAAAAUGUGACAUAAGCAGUACAAUUAAACAUUAAUGCCAUUUUCGUUUACAUAGUUAUCAAACAAAUUUUUUGCGCCCUUAAAGAUGUCGUGUGUUAGUCGUUUUCAAUUGACAAUUACAAUGAAAAAAACUAAUGCAAGACACAUAUAGGGACGUGUAGCGCACAUGAUUGAAAAAAGGCCUCUCACAUGCACGUGUGCGUGCGGAGAGGCUAGUAUUUGAUCAAAUCUGGAGCUAAUGAUAAAAAAGGAAAUUAAAAAUAAAUCAAACAUCAAAGUAACAUACCUGAGAGUGAAGACGAUUUAGUUUUUGCCGGAGAGGAAAAAAACCAAUUGCAACUGCUAAUUGCAGUUUCAAAUUUGAGCUCCAAUUUUUUUUCAACGUUUUAUAAUUAUAACCGCUUAGUUUAGGAGGAUAAUUAUCCAACUUUUCCUCCCUGUUCGUCUUCAAAUGCCCAGCGAUCAAUUGCAUAAAAUUUGAACAAAAAAUUCAAAGAAUCUCAAGUAAGAGAGAUGAAGAACCGUCACAACCCAGAUGUUACGAACACAACUGAGCGGAUUGGUGGGCAAAAGUAUUAACUGGCUAUAGAGUGUUCAACCAUCUCAGAUCCGGAUCCCGCCGCACCAACUCUAUUGAGAGCCCUUGGAUGAUCAAAGGGUGUUAACGUGUAGCACAAAAUUCGAAGCUAGUGGAGCAUCGUCAUCAGAUAAAUAAUACAAUACAUCAAAUUAAAUCCGGGAAAAAAAGACAAACAAAAUAAACCGUAUGCGACACCAAUGGGUCACCAGUCUGAGCGACAAUGAAGCUGAAGCCACCAAUCUCUGGUGGGAUUAAAGCUCAAGAAUUUGGCGGUUGAAGAAGGCUUUUUGUAAAGAACUGGUAAUUGAGUAACUUUAGUAACUCCUAUAAAUGCCUCUGGCAUUCCAGAAUGGCAAAAAUUAAGCAGAAACUGAAUAACCAAUACACAAAAGAGAGAGCUUUCUACAAAUUGGUCCAAAACCCAUUAACAAAAUCUGGUAAAGAUAAAUAAUUUCAAAUAGUUCAAAUUAUAAUCAAGUAAAAAUUUCCAAAUUAGUAUAUAUUAAAGUGGGCAAUUAGUUAAUAAAUCAAAACAUUAGUAGAUAUGAACAAUUCAAUUAGGCAUAGAGUACCUGAAUUGAAGCAGAAAGUCAAAAUUUCUGGCGAAAACCCAUUUCAAAAUUUUGGCAUAGAUAAGAAUAUUGUUCGAGAAAAUUACCCAAUUUACUCUUUUGUAUGCACUGUGGUGAUCGAGAACGUGCGAUGGAGGUAGGACAAUGUAGAAUAAGAUUAUACUUAUUUUGAAGCCCAAUGGUUGCUGGAGAUGGCCGGAAAAUAGCCUCAAAGUUGACUGGUCUGAGUGAAAACUUGAAAACUCGCCAGAAACUAGGUAAACUUUAAAGGUUCAUAACUUCUUCAAUACUCAACGAAAUCAAGUGAUUCAAAAAACGAAAAUCAUACUUCUCGACGAGACAAAAAGAAUGGUACAUUUUUCAAUGGCUAACUCGCCGUUGUUUGGCCGGAAAAUGGCUCGAAAGUGGCUGUCUUGGUCUCAAGUUAGCCACUUUUGAGCCAUUUUCCGGCCAAACCACGGCGAUCUAGCAGUAUAAAAAGGUACCAUUCUCUUUGUCUCGCUGAGAAGUAUGAGUUUUGUUUUUGAAUGACUUGAUUUCAUUGAGUAUUGAAGAAGUUAUGAACGUUUAAAGUUUACCCAAUUUCCAACGAAUUUUCUAGUUUUCGCUCAAACAAGUCAACUUUGAGGCUAUUUUCCAGCCAUCUCCGGUAACCAUUGGGCUUUGAAAUAGGUAUAAUCUUAUUCUAAACUUUCCUAUCUUCAUUUUGAUAUAUUAUGGGUCGAAUUUGGUUAAGAAACGAUUGAGUUACGAAUCUUUGAAAAUUGCCCAAACUUCCGGCCAAGAGCUCCGGAACACUUAACGGAGUUUUUAACGGAAUGAUCAAAAUGAUGGAUGGUGGACAAUCUCAGGGUCCACUUUUAUCGAUUUGGAAUCUCAGAGACCAAAGUGAUGAGUUUUACAAAUCUUAGGGACCAUUUUGAUGAUUUACCAUAAAACAUUUACACAAAAUCCAACAUGCUUGACUUAAAAUAGAUAGAGAUUUAUAAAUAGAUAUAACCCACAAUAGUUCAUGGUUUUCUUUUAUCAGAAAAUAAGAAUAUUUUAAACACAUUACAUAAACCACUCACCUUAAUAAUCCAAGCUUUGACAAGACAACCCAAUUAACAUCUCCGCACACCUCAAACCCUAGCUUUCCCUUUCUCUUUUCUUUUCUAAUCUCUCUCUAAACAUAUAUAAUAUUUAUAUACACACACAUACAUAUAUAUAUAUAUAUAUACACAUACACAUAUAUACACACACACACACACACAUAUAUAUAUAUAUAUAUAUAUAUAUAUAUGUAUAUAUAUAUACAUCAUCUCUACGUAGUGCAUGCAUUGCAUGCUUCUGUGGUUUCAAAAGAAUGGAGCCUUUGCUCCUAUUUAUAGGGGAUUGGAGUCGGCUAUAAUUAAUGUUAAAUGCAUGACUAAGCCUUUCAAUGAAGUGGUGGCAAUAGAAUGUAAGAAAUCAUCUAGGAUAUUGACAGCUACAUGGAAGACGUGUUCAACUUAAGUUGGAGGUGUCAUGAACAUGGGCUGCCAAGUAUAAGAAUCAUCAAAUUGUAGGUGCAGGUGUCAAAUACAGGGAUUAAGCAUAUGCAACACGUUUAAGUUAAUAGCUGCAUACGAUCAUCACAAUAGAGUGCAUAAUAAGCACUCGUAAUGAUUGCUAAAGGAUGAAAUGGAAGGUGGUGCUGUCAGUUUGCAUGAAGCGAGAAGAGCAGGUGCUACAUUCGUAGGAAUGCUUGAGGUAGAUUGACAGGUGGUAUAGUAAAAAUGAAUGGGUGGGAUCUAGUGAGUCUAUUCUUGUCACGCCCCGAUCCUGACAUACAUCCAGGAUUGACACAUGACGUCACCAAGUAUAUGUAUAUCUAACAUACCCCGCCUCCAGAAUAUGUACCAAGCACGCUCAAGCCUCAAAUUGAGUAGUGAUUUUUCGUAUACUUUAUGACUGCAUCUAACCUCCUCGUUAGACUGCCUACGUACCCUCAUUAGAAAUCAAGUCAUUCGUAGUUCGUCGUUCACUAAUUUAGACAAUUAUUAUAGAGCGUUCUAACAAGAAUACAUAACAUUCUGUAAUCAAUUAUUAGAACUUGACAUGCAUGACAUUACCAAGUUCAGGGCUACAAAACAAACCAAUAUGCCGCUCAAGAUUCUGAUUCCAUCCAUCAUAUAAAUUCCAUGAUUUCAGUACGAUACUUCCAUCCACAACAUGUAACAUAUCAAAUAAGCAACGAAGCACAUACUAUUCUCAAGCCACAUUGGUCAACUAAAAUAAUUAGAAUAAUAACAACCAUAACCAAGGUCAUUCCACAAUCCCGUCAAUCAAUCAAUUCAUGAAUCAAAGAUACAUGAUCUUAGCAUUUAAUUAUGUUAAUCAAUGAAUGCAGUAACAUAUCAUUUCACGAAUUUAACCGAGGAAUUCUAUAUAAUUCCCUACUUGGAUUAUGAAUAAAAACAUGGUAAUUCUCAUUUGUAUUCACAAGAUCUAUUGUGGGUAAUUCUUAUUCACUCGAAUCAAGGAUUCUAAGAUAACCUUAUGGAAAUGAACAAGAGCAAGGAUUCCAGACGACUCAACUGAAUCCAACAACAUCGGGUUCCGGACGACUCAACGGAACCAAAAUGUCACACGGUUUCUCGUAAUCCACCUAGACCUGUCACAUGUAAAAUCAAUGCCUACAUUAUGGGAAUGGUACACUGGGCAAAUCAGGCACUCAGAUAAGCUGCAAGGUUCGGGUGAGUGACAAUAAUACAAGUAUGUGAUAUUCAAUAAAAACAGACCAUCGAUCACAAUGUAUAAACAUCAAGCAUAUAAUCAUGCUUUAUGAAAUCAUAAUCAAGUAGCUGAAAACUCCGUAGGAGUCACCCAGACAUCCAACGCUUUUUCUAAUUCAGGCCACAGGAUUCCCAAAAACCAUCAUUCAUAUGCGCAUUAAAACUAGGGCUAGAGGGACGCAGUUUGGCCGAAGCCUACAUAUAUGUAACCAAACAGGAAGUGACCCCCUAUCACGGAUUAACCAAGCAGAACCACCCCUGCAAUAACCAAGUAGACAGUGACCCUCUAUCGUGGAUUAACCAAGCAUAGUCACUCCUACGCAUCUGUUAAGCAGUGAUCACCUAUCGCGGAUUAACCAAGCAUGAUCACCCCUAAGUGUGUGUGUAUGGCCAUACCAAAGAUAUAAGGAUCGCCUAUCGUGGAUUAACCAAGCACGAUCCAUAGAAAAUAUGGUCCUGUAUCGUAGAUUAACAAGACCAUGGUCCCCUAUCGCGGAUUAACCAAGCAGAGUCACACCUACAAAACUGUUAGGCAGUGAUCACCUAUCGUGGAUUAACCAAGCAUAAUCACUCCUAAGUAUGUAUGGCCAUAAGGAUCGCCUAUCGCGGAUUAACCAAGCACGAUCCAUAAAUACUAUGGUCCCCUAUCACGGAUAUACCAAGUAGGACCAUUCAUAUACAUCUACUACAUGGUGCAGUCAAUUCAACACACAAUCUACCCUUACUUCAACCCCUAUGAUUUACAAUAUAGGCACAUGCUCAAUCAACUUCUCAUGGCCACUAGCAUACAUAUCAUGCAAGCAUAUAAAUUCUAUGGAAUACUUCUAAUAGGAUUCUAGGAUCACAUGGUCAUAACCUUUAUCAUUCAUAUCAUUCAUAUUAUCAAGAAAAUAACUAAACACACACACACACACAACACACACAUAUAUAUAUAUAUAACAAUAUGACUCCCAUACGCAUAAACCGAUGUAUAUAUUAUCUGGGAUAACUUACUAACCAAUAUAGGCCCACUAAGCCCUACAUAGUCUCUAGUAAUAUUGAAUUUAAUAUCUAAGAUCAAUUUGUAACAUAUUGACUAUAAGUAAGCAGUAAUUAGAUUAAAACAUAUAAGGUUUCCUAGAACCCCCUACCUUGAAUUCGAUUAAUUUUGUUCCUUUGAAGAACCUAAUCGGAACAUAAAAUUACAAUCAAAAGUAUAAAUACAAGUAACACACCUUAAUAACCAAACUAAGUGUUUAAACACAAAAUUAAUAUUAUUUAAAGAAAGUACAUUGAUUCUGGAAUCUACCACUCAAAUAAUAUCACUCAAAUAGCAAUAAAGAAGAUUAGAAAGGAAUCUGGAAAAGAAAAUAGGUGUGGCAAAAACAAUACUAUGCUUCUCUACAAAAUCUGCAGAAAACAACACUAUUGGACCAAGUUUAGGCUCGCUUUGGAACAUCCAAAACUAAACCAAAUCAUGUAAUAUUAUAUGGGUUUUGAAGCUUGUGUUAUGUACUUUAAAAGAAUACAAAGUUUGUA